UAAGCUGGAUUGGUUCUAGGAAAACACUCUGGAAAGAGUGGCCAUAGAAGGUGACAGCCCUGUAUCUGAAAGGGCCAUUCCAGUGAAGACGAGUAGGGCGGGGCACGUGAAACCCUGUCUGAACAUGGGGGGACCAUCCUCCAAGGCUAAAUACUACUGACCGACCGAUAGUGAACCAGUACCGUGAGGGAAAGGCGAAAAGAACCCCGGAGAGGGGAGUGAAAUAGAACCUGAAACCGUGUGCGUACAAGCAGUAGGAGCUCCGCAAGGAGUGACUGCGUACCUUUUGUAUAAUGGGUCAGCGACUUACUGUUCGUGGCAAGCUUAACCGUAUAGGGGAGGCGAAGGGAAACCGAGUCUGAUAAGGGCGCAUAGUCGCGGGCAGUAGACCCGAAACCGGGUGAUCUAGUCAUGCCCAGGGUGAAGGUGCGGUAACACGCACUGGAGGCCCGAACCCACUCCCGUUGCAAAGGUAGGGGAUGAGGUGUGAUUAGGAGUGAAAAGCUAAUCGAACCCGGAGAUAGCUGGUUCUCCUCGAAAGCUAUUUAGGUAGCGCCUCAUAUGUAUCCUCUCGGGGGUAGAGCACUGUUAUGGCUAGGGGGUCAUCGCGACUUACCAAACCAUUGCAAACUCCGAAUACCGAGACGGACUGUAUGGGAGACACACGGCGGGUGCUAACGUCCGUCGUGAAAAGGGAAACAACCCAGACCCACAGCUAAGGUCCCAAAUUCAGUGCUAAGUGGAAAACCAUGUGGAAAGGCACAGACAGCCAGGAG
rnacentral:rRNA from 1 species